rnacentral:ncRNA from 1 species
GAACCAACGCCGGGGUAAGGCCCCCGAUGCGGGACGCUCAUGAGAUCCCAUGAAGGGUGUUGGUUGCUUAAGACAGCAGGACGGUGGCCAUGGAAGUCGGAACCCGCUAAGGAGUGUGUAACAACUCACCUGCCGAAGCAACUAGCCCCGAAAAUGGAUGGCGCUCUAGUGUCGAGCCUAUCCCCGGCCGCUGCCGGCAGAUGCACGCAAACAAGGGGGUGCUAAGCUGCAGCGAGUAGGAGGGCCGCUGCGGUGAGCGUUGAAGGUGUCGGGCGUAAGCCCGCCUGGAGCCGCCGCUGGUGCAGAUCUUGGUGGUAGUAGCAAAUACUCAAGUGAGAACCUUGAGGACUGAAGUGGAGAAGGGUUCCAUGUGAACAGCAGUUGAACAUGGGUCAGUCGGUCCUAAGGGAAAGGAGAAGUUCUUUCCGAAGCGGGAGCACUUUUUUGCAGUGGAGAGAGCCCCGCAGUGAUCGAAAGGGAAUCGGGUUAAUAAUCCCGAACCCGGACACGGAGAUUGGUAUAAGGAAAAAUCGGGAAACGUGACGCACAUAUUCGAGGUCACGGCCGUGGUCUACCCGAAGAUCAAGGAGAAGAGCAGACUUCGACUGGGGUGGACCAUGUGCGCCGUGACCGAGAACUUUUAUGUGCCGCGUUGUGACAAAUGUUGCACGUACGGACACACUCGGGCAAGGUGCUCCUCGAGAGCGGUGUUCUGCACCAUCUGUGCCGGAUC